GAUGAACGCUGGCGGCGUGCCUAAUACAUGCAAGUCGAGCGAACAGACGAGGAGCUUGCUCCUCUGACGUUAGCGGCGGACGGGUGAGUAACACGUGGAUAACCUACCUAUAAGACUGGGAUAACUUCGGGAAACCGGAGCUAAUACCGGAUAAUAUAUUGAACCGCAUGGUUCAAUAGUGAAAUACGGUUUUGCGGUCACUUAUAGAUGGAUCCGCGCCGCAUUAGCUAGUUGGUAAGGUAACGGCUUACCAAGGCGACGAUGCGUAGCCGACCUGAGAGGGUGAUCGGCCACACUGGAACUGAGACACGGUCCAGACUCCUACGGGAGGCAGCAGUAGGGAAUCUUCCGCAAUGGGCGAAAGCCUGACGGAGCAACGCCGCGUGAGUGAUGAAGGUCUUCGGAUCGUAAAACUCUGUUAUUAGGGAAGAACAAAUGUGUAAGUAACUAUGCACGUCUUGACGGUACCUAAUCAGAAAGCCACGGCUAACUACGUG
rnacentral:rRNA from 1 species